rnacentral:rRNA from 1 species
AUUGAACGCUGGCGGCAUGCCUUACACAUGCAAGUCGAACGGUAACAGGUUAAGCUGACGAGUGGCGAACGGGUGAGUAAUGUAUCGGAACGUGCCCAGUCGUGGGGGAUAACUGCUCGAAAGAGCAGCUAAUACCGCAUACGACCUGAGGGUGAAAGCGGGGGAUCGCAAGACCUCGCGCGAUUGGAGCGGCCGAUAUCAGAUUAGGUAGUUGGUGAGGUAAAGGCUCACCAAGCCGACGAUCUGUAGCUGGUCUGAGAGGACGACCAGCCACACUGGGACUGAGACACGGCCCAGACUCCUACGGGAGGCAGCAGUGGGGAAUUUUGGACAAUGGGCGCAAGCCUGAUCCAGCCAUGCCGCGUGCGGGAAGAAGGCCUUCGGGUUGUAAACCGCUUUUGUCAGGGAAGAAAAGGUUCUGGCUAAUACCUGGGACUCUUGGCGGUACCUGAAGAAUAAGCACCGGCUAACUACGUG